rnacentral:rRNA from 1 species
GACGAACGCUGGCGGCGUGCUUAACACAUGCAAGUCGAACGGAAAGGCCCUGCUUUUGUGGGGUGCUCGAGUGGCGAACGGGUGAGUAACACGUGAGUAACCUGCCCUUGACUUUGGGAUAACUUCAGGAAACUGGGGCUAAUACCGGACAGGAGCUCCUGCGGCAUGGUGGGGGUUGGAAAGUUUCGGCGGUUGGGGAUGGACUCGCGGCUUAUCAGCUUGUUGGUGGGGUAGUGGCUUACCAAGGCUUUGACGGGUAGCCGGCCUGAGAGGGUGACCGGCCACAGUGGGACUGGGGUACGACCCAGACUCCUACGGGAGGCAGCAGUGCGGAAUAUUGCACGAUGGGCGGAAGCCUGAUGCAGCAACGCCGCGUGCGGGAUGACGGCCUUCGGGUUGGAAACCGCGUUCGCCUGUGACGAAGCGUGAGUGACGGUAAUGGGUAAAGAAGCACCGGCUAACUACGUG